CCUGUCCAGAGAACAGAAAUGGAAUUUAGUUUCUAUUUUAGAAGAACAGAGACUCCAAAACCCUGUUGUCCACUCAAAUUUCUCACGUGAAAGUACAACACCCAUAAUUCUCACCUUCAGCUCAAAACCCUUCUUACACAAUCAAAAGCUUCCAGGUGAUCACCAUUGUAAAAAAAAAAAAAGUGAGAAUGUAGCCCAGGAGGCCAUACAGACUCACAGCAUUUAUACCAACCGUGGUCACCAGCCUUCUUGUAUCUACCACAGACAACCAGAAACGCUUUGACAUCAGGAGGAAACAAGGAUUGCGUCUGAAACCUUCACCGCAUCAGCACCACAUUAUCUGUUAACAGUAUUUUCUCCCUUCCCGUCUCACUCCCCAGCCAUCUGUUGCUUAUUGGCAGCUUGCAGUGCCCAAGAUGAGCCACGCAGAGGAUUCCAAUAACCCUAACAGCCUGUUUCUUGUUUCUGUUACCUCUCUUCAGACACCUCAGGAGCUCCACUUUCAUCUCUGGCUGCUAUGGACCCCUGUCCCAGCAGGUUCUGCAGGGAAGCCGAAGAGCCUACAUUCCUCAUCUCUUCCUCUCCCAUCCCUCCCUCCAAAGAGAAUGAAGAAGAUUCAGAGGUGCCACCUCUAUCGCACAGACACAGAUUUAUGGUCGGUCCUGUACAGCAACUACCUCGUUCUCUUGCUCAGAUUCAUCUUUCUCUAAAUACAUACAACUGUGUAUUUGAGAAUUCCAACUGAAAACUGUCUACCACACUGUGAAAAGGCUGCAGACAAAAGAGCCAGCAGUGAGAAAUUAGAAGAGCCAAGAAUCUUGUCAAACUGCAUUGGCAUUUCUCCAGAUGGGAACAGGACUUCUUUUUUGUCCUUUCUGUAAAGUUCUUGGCAUGCUCAUGGCAGAGGAGACUGCUUCACAGCAAGAGAAAAGGCCCACUGCACUCAAAGAGAUCACAUUUAUUUAUGCUGUUCCUUCUUCCCUUUAAGAGGAACCAUCACUUUCCAGGAGAAAACUGCACCAGUGGGGAAGCAUGAAACAAGUAUGGUAAGAC